CAUGAUGCUUUUGUUAUCCCAAGGAAUUGCAAAUUAGCAGUGUUGGACGCCGUCGUCAUAAUCAGCUUACAUGGCUGCAUUACAGUGUCAAUACAACAUACAGGUCAUCUGGCCAAACAGUUGACUCACAGUUUGACUUAAACAACCAGUUUCCGCCAUUGCAUUUUUCACCAGUGCGCAGUUUCAGUAACAAUGCCACAGCCCCUUUAGAGUAGUAUGCUGGAUGUUAAGUGAGCUGGCAGCAUGAUUGAGGAAGUUUGUUACUUCCAAUUAGAGUGUACAUGUGAGAUGUUGUUAGGAGGUACUGAGAAUUAUUACUAGAUUGAGGGCAAAGUGCCCUUGAUAUGUCUUUGCUGAUAUGGCAUAUAGCUUACAAGGAACUAAUAACCCUCUGUUAGUGAUAUUGAAUAAUUGCUCAUGGAUGUGGUGGAAAAUGUAUACCACUUUGACAGACGCUGAUGUGAAUAAUUGUCUAAGUCUAGACCACACAUAAAUGAAACAUGAGUUCAAUUAUUUCAGUCAACAUACAGAAAAGUGGCCAGUGGAAAAAAAAAAAACAAAGGAAAAAAAAAGGUAGUGAGUGACCAAAUCUUGCACAAGAAUUCUGAUCUUGUUUUGAUUUAUUUGCUUAGGAAUCACAACAGUUAACAAUCAAUUAACUGAUUCAUUUGAAAGAAAAUUAUUUAGAAGAGUAACAUGUUAAUUUAGUUUCAUGCUAGAAUAUUAGUUUAGGUUCUACAUUUACAGUAAGCAGAAUUGACACAUUAAUUAAUGUUA